rnacentral:tRNA from 1 species
GGUUCUGUAGUGUAGCAGUGAUCACGUCUGCGUUACACGCAGAAGGUCGUGGGAUCAAUCCCCAGUGGAACCA